AUGCUGGAGAAGUGGCUGUCGAGCAUUAUCGGGAACAAGGACAAUCUCAGAGGAGCCAGGAGAGUUCUCCCAUUCGACCAGUCACGUGCACCAGAGCAGGCCAUUACUGAAAUGUAUUCGAUGCCCAACAGGGAGCAAGAGCAAGCUCUGGAAGGCGAGGCGAGUAGUGGCGAAAGUGGCGAGUGGACUUCUGAUGGUGAAGGGGAUGGUGGAAGUGACGACUCAAGUGAUGGGGAAGAAGUCGAGUCGCCUCCUCGCAUAGAGAGACGAUCCAAGCUUGACCAAGAACGACCGAGUGCCCGCGACAAGGCAACUGCUCAGGCUGGCCAGUCUUCGAAGCGUCCUCGGGUCUCUUCACCAACCCCGACUGAGAAGGCGCCAAAACACCCCAAAGUUGCAGAGCCGAAGACUCGGAAGGCGCUGCCAAAGAUCAAGAUCGAUAUCCAUGUCGCCUCCGCCGCCGCCACUUUCGGGACCUCAGCUUACAGGGAUGAUGAUGAGGUGAUGGAGGAUGCGGUCACUUCUAAUCCAGCUCCCAACAUUAUUGACCUCCCUGAUGAUGAUGAAGAGCCCGAGAGGUCUUUGACGAGGAAGAGUAGGCGAGCUCCUGCAAGUGAGGCGCUACAGUCGACGCCGAGGGCGGAACCAGUCGUUCAGGACACUGGUGACAUCAAUCGGGGUUCUGUUACCUUCACGGAGCCCUUGUCGAGUGCCUUGCCUUUUUCUUCGACUCCUCAGGCCCCUGUCGAACCGCCUUCAGUUUUUGUGACCCAUCAUGUCCCAGAGGACGAGGUGAAUGCUGCUAGGGAAGCCAUACGCCAGGCGGGCAUUAUGAUGGAGAAGAUGAAGAUGGUGCGGGACGCCAGCCAAGCUGCCUAUGAUGCCAGCUCGUCUCUCCAGAGCAACGUUCAGAAAUCUUGCGAUCUUGGAGCUCGCUUUGCUGACUUGGAGAAGCAGCAUAUUCAAUUGGACCUUGAUUUGGAGCUGGCCAGGACAGAGCUGCAAAAGGUCAGAGAUGGCGCCGCAGAAAAACUGAGAGAAGCUCUGGCGAAGAAGGAUCAGGACUUGGCUGCUGCCCGUAAGGAGGCUGACGACAAGACUGCUCUGGCCGAACAGAAGCUGGCUUCGGUCGGCCAGUUAGAAGAAGAGAAUACCAGGCUGAAGACCGCUCUGAAUGAAGCCAACAGGGAGUGUACACGUUGGAAGAAGGAUAACCUCAACCUGAACGAAAAGAUGGAAGGCAUCGCUCGCAGGAGGGACGAUCUGGAGAGAUACUUGAGGAGCCUCGCCAAGAAAAUGUACAUCAAGCUCGAAGAGUUUUGCCAGAACUUUGAAGAGGAGACUGGGCGGAUCGAACCAGGUUUGGAUCCAAUCAACUCUCCUGUGAAAGAUGAAACUGCCAUGAAUCUGCUCCGACUGGAAUCUCGCAUCGACGGUGCCGUGGACUACUUGGCUCGACUGAAGGUCACCAUGUCACGGAUCGACCCGGCACUUUGGCUAGAGGCUACGCUCCGAAACGAUCUCAAGUCUCUGAUGACUCGACUUAACGGAAUCCCUGACCGAGUGCAGGAGUGGAAGAAGUCUUCUGCUCGGUGUGGCGCUGAUGUGGCUCUGUCCUUGGUUCGUGUCCACUGCAAGGAGGUGCAACAAGACAAGUUGGCAGCAAUUAAGGUCGCCAACACCCAGAAGCAUGACUUCCGAACCUUUAUGGAGACUUUCAUCGCUGCAGCCACUCGGAUAGCCGACGGCGUCGACCUGGAUGAGUUCGUCGAGCCUGCCAGCCCUCCUCCCGCGGAGUGA
rnacentral:rRNA from 1 species